AGGGCACCACCAGGAGUGGAGCCUGCGGCUUAAUUUGACUCAACACGGGAAACCUCACCCGGCCCGGACACGGACAGGAUUGACAGAUCGAUAGCUCUUUCUCGAUUCCGUGGGUGGUGGUGCAUGGCCGUUCCUAGUUGGUGGAGCGAUUUGUCUGGUUAAUUCCGAUAACGAACGAGACUCUGGCAUGCUAACUAGUUACGCGACCCCCCGAGCGGUCGGCGUCCCCCAACUUCUUAGAGGGACAAGUGGCGUUCAGCCACCCGAGAUUGAGCAAUAACAGGUCUGUGAUGCCCUUAGAUGUCCGGGCUGCACGCGCGCUACACUGACUGGCUCAGCGUGUGCCUACCCUACGCCGGCAGGCGCGGGUAACCCGUUGAACCCCAUUCGUGAUGGGGAUCGGGGAUUGCAAUUAUUCCCCAUGAACGAGGAAUUCCCAGUAAGUGCGGGUCAUAAGCUUGCGUUGAUUAAGUCCCUGCCCUUUGUACACACCGCCCGUCGCUACUACCGAUUGGAUGG
rnacentral:rRNA from 1 species